GCCUGGCUGGCUCAGUUGGUGGAGCAUGUGACUCUUGAUCUUGGAGUUGUGGGUUCGAGCCCCACGUUGGGUG
rnacentral:tRNA from 1 species